ACUUGCCAAGUAAAACUGUCAUCCCGUUAUUUUAUUGUUUCGACAUCGAGCAAGGAACCGGUUGCCAAUCUUCAUCCUCUUAGGCUUAGCUUCACCAAUAUUCUCCGUGUGGUUAUGUCCUCGCAGGCCGACCCACCCUGCCGGGCAGGGUCCACAGGCGUUAGUGCUGACAGUGGUGGAAAGGUUCACCUUUGGCUGUUGUUGGACUCCUCUUCUCUAAGUUCUAUUCAGAUAAGAUAGAGGCUCAUCAUAGAGCCCAUCAUUUAUAUUGUAGUGCCUGUUAUUGCCUUUUGAGCUUCGACCAAACUCGCCGACUUCUUCUCUUCUUCACCGCCACACUCCGAGAAGCCGACUGAGCCAGUUGCCCGAGCAAUGAGUCAGUCCGUGAUGACGAGAGACCUAGCCGGCUGUACUUCAGUUCCCUGGGAAAGCGGCCGCGUGACACAAGACGCUAGUGGACGAUGCGGAUGAAGGCCAUGGCCAGGGAGCUCCGGAGCCCUACGCGCACUGCACUGCACUGGUGACCAAAGGCAAAGGGCAAGCGCACUGUGUGCUCCCCAGUAUGUCUGUAGAUAAAGCUGAUAAACUGUAAUCCAGUACACGCGUGCCAGACUUUCGCGGUGAGCCCUCCGACGAGACGAUAAUUGACGGCCACUGUCGAAGCCAAGUAGAUCUACGCUCGAGUUUGCAUGCAGGUCUGGUCUUCGUCUCCCCACUGUAGCAUCUCGCUCCAGGUCGACUCUACUUCGGGUUGUCGCUACGGGCGCACACGUGAUCAAGAUUGCAGGAGAGAAAGCGUCUCGCGUCUGCAGUGGCCCGCGGUGCAAGCCAGUGCGCAGUGGCAGUGGGCCUGGUGGACUUGGGCCAAUGCGGCAAUGGCAAUACAAAUAACUCUGAAGUAAUGGCGCAUACAUCAAAUUGAACCGUACAUGAAGUUCUCAGUGCUCUUCAUACCAACAAGAGUGCAGUCAGACAACUGUGUUUGCGUGUACUGCAUUCCGCAACACCACGGCAAAGUAACUGUGAAUGGCGAGGGGCGAACUCCAGCGCUACUUCAUCCGGACCGCACCCACAACAACGAGCACGGACAUGAAGGUCAUUCUCAAAGAGAGGUAUGGCCCGACGCAAGUGCAAGGAGAAGUGAAGCAAACCGAUAGCAGAUCAGGUUGGGAGCAGGAAAUGCCGCACGUGUCAGCGGUGGUUCAGGAGCGCCGGAGGCCUCGCGGUCCAUAAAAGUCUACCCGAUGAUCGCUCUACGUGCAACUCAGUCACGGCAAUACCGGUGCCGGCGAGGACUCGGCUCUCGCUAUGCUGCCAGGCUCAUUGCAGCACAUGUGGCAGGUGCUGCCGAUCGAAGAGGGGUUUUCAACUCCACAGCUGUGCAAAGUAUAACAGAACUUUCGUUGGCCGCUAGCCUGCGGAGUGUGCUGCGCACCGCAUUCAACCAACAUACUGCAUGUCUGUCGGCCCCUCGUAUGAGGGGACAAGUGACGUCUGACGGCAAUGUUCAGGACAGGGACAGGGCAGGCGUGCGUGUAUAAGCAUGGGUGUGCGUGCGUGUGUUUGUGUGUGCAUUGUUCUUACGAACUGGUGUGGAUGGCGUAGAUGCAUGAGAUGGAAACGCUUCAAAUUUGUUCUUCAAACUGAUAGUAACGUCUUUGCAAAUUUGCACCAUAAUUAUCCUGACUGAUAGCGGGUACAUGUCAUG